UCGAUUAGUUUGAUCAUGGCUCAGGACGAACGCUGGCGGCACGCUUAACACAUGCAAGUCGAACGUGAAGCUCGGAGCUUGCUCCGGGUGGAAAGUGGCGAACGGGUGAGUAACACGUGAGGAACCUGCCCCGAAGACUGGGAUAACACCGGGAAACCGGUGCUAAUACUGGAUGCCUUCUCCGGAUCGCAUGAUCUGGCGAAGAAAUGGAUUCCGCUUCGGGAUGGCCUCGCGGCCUAUCAGCUUGUUGGUGGGGUAACGGCCUACCAAGGCAACGACGGGUAGCUGGUCUGAGAGGAUGUCCAGCCACACUGGGACUGAGACACGGCCCAGACUCCUACGGGAGGCAGCAGUGGGGAAUCUUGCGCAAUGGGCGAAAGCCUGACGCAGCGAUGCCGCGUGCGGGAUGAGGGCCUUCGGGUUGUAAACCGCUUUCAGCAGGGACGAAAUUGACGGUACCUGCAGAAGAAGCCCCGGCCAACUACGUGCCAGCAGCCGCGGUAAUACGUAGGGGGCGAGCGUUGUCCGGAUUUAUUGGGCGUAAAGAGCUCGUAGGCGGUUUGGUAAGUUGGAUGUGAAAUCUCCAGGCUCAACUUGGAGGGGUCAUUCGAUACUGCCAUGACUAGAGUUCGGUAGGGGAGUGUGGAAUUCCUGGUGGAGCGGUGAAAUGCGCAGAUAUCAGGAGGAACACCCGUAGCGAAGGCGGCACUCUGGGCCGGAACUGACGCUGAGGAGCGAAAGCGUGGGGAGCGAACAGGAUUAGAUACCCUGGUAGUCCACGCCGUAAACGUUGGGCACUAGGUGUGGGGUUC
rnacentral:rRNA from 1 species